rnacentral:rRNA from 1 species
AUUGAACGCUGGCGGAAUGCUUUACACAUGCAAGUCGAGCGGCAGCGCGGGGGCAACCCUGGCGGCGAGCGGUGAACGGGUGAGUAACAUAUCGGAACGUACCCCGUCGUGGGGGAUAACACAGCGAAAGCUGUGCUAAUACCGCAUACGACCUGAGGGUGAAAGCGGGGGAUCGCAAGACCUCGCGCGAUGGGAGCGGCCGAUAUCGGAUUAGCUUGUUGGUGAGGUAAAGGCUCACCAAGGCGACGAUCCGUAGCUGGUCUGAGAGGACGACCAGCCACACUGGAACUGAGACACGGUCCAGACUCCUACGGGAGGCAGCAGUGGGGAAUUUUGGACAAUGGGGGCAACCCUGAUCCAGCCAUUCCGCGUGAGUGAAGAAGGCCUCGGUUGUAAAGCUCUUUCUAGCAGGAACG